AGGACGAACGCUGGCGGCGUGCUUAACACAUGCAAGUCGAGCGGAAAGGCCCUUCGGGGUACUCGAGCGGCGAACGGGUGAGUAACACGUGAGCAAUCUGCCCUUAGCUUCGGGAUAGCUCCGGGAAACCGGAAUUAAUACCGGAUAUGACUAUGGCUGACAUCAGCCACGGUGGAAAGUUUUUCGGCUAGGGAUGAGCUCGCGGCCUAUCAGCUAGGUUGGGGGGGUGACGGCCCACCAAGGCGACGACGGGUA
rnacentral:rRNA from 1 species